UGAUUUGGGGUGUCGCCUCUCCUGAGUCAGAACGUGAGGGAGUCCUCACGUUGGUUGUGGGUCUUUCAAAGUCUCUUGCCUUGAGCCACUCAGAUAAUGAAGGUUGGUGAGUCCUGCUGCCAGAGCACUUAGUAAUCUAUAGCUCUGGGCCCCUCCUUCCUGGCUUGUUUCCUUAAUAAGGGAGUUAGAUGUGAGAAACUAAGGCUGGGACCUGCCUAACAGGUGACACUUCAAAGUAAUAAACAGCUGUUGCUUCUCCCCACCCUACCCCCACCACCCAAAGGAGGUUGAAAACAAAAAAUUCCAUUGGGAUCUGGGAACCUCUUGGUCCCAUCUGACUUGUACUGGGAGACCCAGCAGGUGGAGGUCUUGCUGGCAGAGGUCCACCUCAGUGAAGCUUUACCAUAGCCUGGUGUUGGACCUGUUACCUGCUUGGCUCCUCAGAUGGGCUUCAGCAACCACCAAAGCAUUGUCCCAGAUAGGUGUCCCGUGGCUCCUUCAUCUCAGGGAGACUAUGUCAGAGGAUUUCACACUACAGAGACCUGCCGCUCCUGUCAGUGUGCCUCAAGAAGGUGCUGCUGCUGAUGGUCAGGUAAGGCACUGCUCACUGACACCCUGGGCAUCUUCUACUUGCUGCAUCUUGUCUUUUGUGUCCUUGCUGCCACGGCUUGGAGGAGUUCUGGGUUGUUGAGGACAUCUGCAGUGGGUCAAUCCCGCUGACUGUGCUUUAUCUAAACAUCAAUUUGGAUUUUUAAAAGUAAGCCAGAGCCAGCUCACCCGGCCGAGGGACAGGGUAGGAGCAGGUCAGCAGACAGAAUUAUGGGGGCUUGAGGAAAAUAGGGAGUAAAAGGCUGUGAGGGAUGGAGGAGUGGAGACACGUGCAGGACCUUGGGGGUUCCUCAUGGGGAAGGCGGAGACCCUAACUAGAAUGGGCAAAGCAACUAAAGAAUACAGAAGGGCUGAGUUCGGAUUCAGAAGACCACUCACCCAGUGGGUGUGGCUUCUCCCUCCUCUGCCUUGGGGAUUCCACCUGACGAUCAUGGGAGCUCUCAAGGCUGAAGAUGAUUCUAAUAGACACUUAGCAGGGGUAUUUCUAUUGCUCAUUUGCAUGACGUAUGUACGUGCGUGCGUGUGUGUGUGUGUGUGUGUGUGUGUGUGUGUGUGUGUGUGUGUACGUACAUGUUUAGGCCCUUGGAGUAAAACCCUGCUAACUCAAGCUUGUUUGUUCUCAGAAAAAAGGAAAAGAUUUGGGACUUUGGUAAGGAAAGGCUGGGUGUCUGGACACUUGUGGGUGCCACUCCAGGCCCAGCAGCCCUGAGAAGUCCCUGAUCCCAAAGGCGAGGAGAGGGAUUCUAGAGUUUGGACAAGACCUCUCUGUAACCCAGUCUGACCCUGAACUCACGAUUCCCCUGCCUCUGACUCCUGAGAGCAGCAUUAUUUAUUUGUGUGUGUGUGUGUGUGAGAAAGAGAGAGAGAGAGAGAGAGAGAGAGAGAGAGAGAGAGAGAGAGAGAGAGAGAGAGAGAUCACACGCAUGUGUAGCACAAUGUGAAUGUGGAGGUUAGAAUUCUUGCAGGAAUCAGCUCUUUCCUUCCAUCAUGUAGUUCCAGGGAUUGAACUCGGGUCAUUAAUCUUAGCAGCAAGCUCUCUAUCCACUGAGCCAGCUUACCUGCCCCAAGUUAGUGAUUUUUAAAGUCAACCAAAAAAGCCCAGCUUGGCUCCUAUCUGUAAUGCCAGCACUUGGGAAGCGAGGGCAGGAAGGAUUGCUGGAAGUCAGAGGCCAGCCUGGACUACUGAGUGAGACUCUGUCUCAAAAGAGCAAACCAAAACCCCUAAAAGGCAGCUGUGCAUGGAGGUCUACUGCUGUGAUCUUGGAGGUAGAUGCAGAAGGGUCAGGGGUUCAGGUCCACUUCAGCUACAUGGUAAGUCUGAGACCAGUCUGGGAUAUAUGAGAUCUUGUAUCAAAAAAUAAUAAUAAAAAUAAACCAUAAA